AUACGUAGGGUGCAAGCGUUAAUCGGAAUUACUGGGCGUAAAGCGUGCGCAGGCGGUUCGGAAAGAAAGAUGUGAAAUCCCAGGGCUUAACCUUGGAACUGCAUUUUUAACUGUCGAACUCGAGUAUGUCAGAGGGGGGUAGAAUUCCACGUGUAGCAGUGAAAUGCGUAGAGAUGUGGAGGAAUACCGAUGGCGAAGGCAGCCCCCUGGGAUAAUACUGACGCUCAUGCACGAAAGCGUGGGGAGCAAACAGGAUUAGAUACCCUGGUAGUCCACGCCCUAAACGAUGUCAACUAGCUGUUGGGGCCUCCGGGCCUUAGUAGCGCAGCUAACGCGUGAAGUUGACCGCCUGGGGAGUACGGUCGCAAGAUUAAAACUCAAAUGAAUUGGCGGGG
rnacentral:rRNA from 1 species